UACGUAGGGUGCGAGCGUUAAUCGGAAUUACUGGGCGUAAAGCGUGCGCAGGCGGUUCGUUGUGUCGGCGGUGAAAGCCCCGGGCUUAACCUGGGAAUGGCCGUUGAAACUGGCGAACUGGAGUGUGGCAGAGGGGGGUGGAAUUCCGCGUGUAGCAGUGAAAUGCGUAGAGAUGCGGAGGAACACCGAUGGCGAAGGCAGCCCCCUGGGUCGACACUGACGCUCAGGCACGAAAGCGUGGGGAGCAAACAGG
rnacentral:rRNA from 1 species